rnacentral:rRNA from 1 species
AUAGGGACUUCGGUUUCUAUAUUAGUGGCGCACGGGUGCGUAACGCGUAUGCAACCUACCUUAAACUGGGGGAUAGCCCGGGGAAACCCGGAUUAAUACCGCAUGAUACUAUUAGAGGGCAUCUGAAGAUAGUUAAAGAUUUAUUGGUUUAAGAUGGGCAUGCGUGCCAUUAGCUAGUUGGUUGGGGUAACGGCCCACCAAGGCGACGAUGGCUAGGGGUUCUGAGAGGAUGAUCCCCCACACUGGUACUGAGAUACGGACCAGACUCCUACGGGAGGCAGCAGUAGGGAAUAUUGGGCAAUGGCCGCAAGGCUGACCCAGCCAUGCCGCGUGCAGGAAGAAGGCCUUCUGGGUUGUAAACUGCUUUUAUCUAGGAAGAAAAAACUCUUGCGAGAGGAACUGACGGUACUAGGUGAAUAAGCACCGGCUAACUCCGUGCCAG